rnacentral:rRNA from 1 species
AGAACGAAUGCUGGCGGCAGGCUUAACACAUGCAAGUCGAACGCUCGUAGCAAUACGGGAGUGGCAGACGGGUGAGUAACGCGUGGGAACAUACCCUCCGGUUCGGAAUAGCUCAGGGAAACUUGGAUUAAUACCGGAUACGGCUGAGAGGCGAAAGAUUUAUCGCCGGAGGAUUGGCCCGCGUUCGAUUAGCUUGUUGGUGAGGUAACGGCUCACCAAGGCGACGAUCGGUAGCUGGUCUGAGAGGAUGAUCAGCCUCACUGGGACUGAGACACGGCCCAGACUCCUACGGGAGGCAGCAGUGGGGAAUAUUGGACAAUGGGCGCAAGCCUGAUCCAGCCAUGCCGCGUGGGUGAUGAAGGCCCUAGGGUUGUAAAGCCCGUUUCGGCGGGGAAGAUAAUGACGGUACCCGCAGAAGAAGCCCCGGCUAACUUCGUGCCAGCAGCCGC